rnacentral:rRNA from 1 species
UGGGGAAUAUUGCACAAUGGGCGCAAGCCUGAUGCAGCCAUGCCGCGUGUAUGAAGAAGGCCUUCGGGUUGUAAAGUACUUUCAGCGAGGAGGAAGGCAUUAAGGUUAAUAACCUUGGUGAUUGACGUUACUCGCAGAAGAAGCACCGGCUAACUCCGUGCCAGCAGCCGCGGUAAUACGGAGGGUGCAAGCGUUAAUCGGAAUUACUGGGCGUAAAGCGCACGCAGGCGGUCUGUUAAGUCAGAUGUGAAAUCCCCGGCUCAAGCCU